GGUCGUGUAGGCAAAUGGCAAAGCCGCCAAGCUCAAACCUUGGUGUUUGUGGGUUCAACUCCCACCGCGACUA
rnacentral:tRNA from 1 species